GAUAUAGUUUGUAUCUUCUGGCAGGAAUAAGAAAGCAAAAAUAAAACAAGCCCUCACAAUUCUUGGCUAGAUGAAUCUUCCAGGGUUUGAUCCCCUGGCAAAGCUCUGUGGUUUGGCUUUCUCUCUUCUCUUAGGAUUGUGUGUAUGCCUCAUUUUCUUUGAUUUCAUAGCACUAUUUAUGUUUAUCUGCUAGCUUUUGUCUUAUUUGCCAGUUCCUUUUCCUUUUCAAGAUAAUUCAUUGACUUGACUACUAAAUAUUUUCAUUUCUAUACAGUCCAGUCAUUUCCUCAAUUUGCCAUCUUCAGAACAAGGGUCUAGUUUAUAACCCACCUCUUUUCCUUUGUCCCUCUUUCCUUACUCUUUCCGCAGUUCCCUUUUUUCCCUUUCACUCUGUCAUUCCUUGCUUCUAACUCUGCUCUUUAGAAAGCUUUUAUCCUCCAAGUGAAGCUCUCUUUUUGGUUUUCUUUCUUUCUCUCUCUCUUUUUUUCUUUCCUCCUGGCUUUUUUACAUUUUGGCUGUUAUUAAAAAUGCUCUUCUUGGUACAAUUAUUGCUAUUUACUUUUAUGUCUCAGGCAUUAGCUUGCCAUCAGUGACUGACACUCACAACUUGGUCAAAAUUUGGAAUUUCUGUUUCAUAAAAAAUUCCAACAUAACAUUUCAUUUCAUCAGGUAACCAUGUUGAAAUGAAUAUUAUUCAAGUGCUUUCUCAUCUUAUGGCUUUAGAGAACACUUCCUGAACUGUUAAUGAAACUGGAAAUGACAACGAUAUUGCCCAUUCUAUUUUCUUCAGCAAAAUGAAAUGUAUUUUUUUUCAGCUAAAGGUUUUUGUCAUUGAAAAAGGAAUUUUGGACCAAACCAGGGAAUUUUCUUCCUUGUCAGAAGGUUUAGCUUUCAUGAAAGAGCAUGGAAGAGGAAAGAAAUGACAGUAAGAUUGAAUUAUGAACCCUUAGAAACUGAGAACAAGAACUGAUUGUAUUGCGAAAGCUAAAAUCACUGCUCUUGAUUAACACUGGGCAAUAGCAGUCAUCGGUGAUCACAUGCAUGAGAUUGCUGAAGCAGAUGUAGUGUGCAUAUUGCUCAUGCAGGUUAGAGGAGACAAAGGGAAAACAUUUACUUCAGUUUUCAAUUUAAUUUUUUAAGAGUACCAUAAAUACCACUUUAAAAGUCUGCUGGUUGCUUGAAAACUAAUUCCAGGAGUUCCUCAUCUUAACUGAAAAUAUUUGCAAGCCUUAGACAGAGAUCAUCAUAUUCCAGACUUCUUUACCAAUAUUAAACUUCGUUUCAGUUUUGCGUGACUCAUGCACUUGUAUCCCCUAGACUGGGUCUCAGGUCCUUCCUGUCUGCAGCACUGUCAUGGUGACCGUAAGCUGUUCACGCCAUUGCGACUGUAUGUCUAGUGGUUACCAAAAUCACAGCACUUUUACAUUCCCUUUUUACCUAUUCACCACUGCCUCACCUGAGUGACCUAACAUCUUUCUGUGGGUCUCGCUGUUACAGGAUGACUGUAAUCGUAUCUUACAGAGGUGUUACAACUCGUAAUUACUUUGUUUGUAGAGUGCUUUGAGGUUCUCUGACAAAAGUGAUUUCAGCAUGCAAAAUACCACAGCAAAAUAAACUAAUCUAGAUCGUAGAGGUCA
ensembl:lncRNA